UCCGGUUUGACACCGGCAGUCCCGCUAGAGUGCCCGGCAUGACCCGUUGGCAACUAGAGGCAGGGGUUUCGCUCGUUAGAGGACUUAACCCGACACUUCACAGCACGAGCUGACGACAGCCAUGCAGCACCUGUGCACGUUCCACUCUUGCGAGUGUGGCCCCGCUUUCACGGGGUUAAUCCGUGCAUGUCAAGCCUUGGAUAAGGUUCUUCGCGUUGCUUCGAAUUGAGCCACAUGCUCCACCGCUUGUGUGAGCCCCCGUCAAUUCCUUUGAGUUUUAGCCUUGCGACCGUACUCCCCAGGCGGUUCACUAAUCAUUUUUACUUCGACCCUGUUGGCGUCAGAGCCUCCAAGGUCUAGUGAACAUCGUUUACGGCGUGGACUAC
rnacentral:misc_RNA from 1 species